rnacentral:rRNA from 1 species
UACGUAGGUGGCAAGCGUUAUCCGGAUUUAUUGGGUUUAAAGGGUGCGUAGGCGGAGUGUCAAGUCAGUGGUAAAAUUUCGGGGCUCAACCCCGUCGAGCCGUUGAAACUGGCAGACUUGAGUUGGCGAGAAGUACGCGGAAUGCGCGGUGUAGCGGUGAAAUGCAUAGAUAUCGCGCAGAACCCCGAUUGCGAAGGCAGCAUGCCGGCUUCCGACUGACGCUGAAGCACGAAAGCGUGGGGAUCGAACAGG